UCUUUACUUCAGCUUAACGCGACGAAAAUUUGACAAAACCCCAUAACCUAAAGGAAUUUCUUUACAGACAAGGAUAAAAAGUGGUUGUUUCAACCAACUGAGGCUGCCUAAUACUAUUUUGCUGUGAUUUUUUAGGAGAUUCUCUUAACAGAUUUUGUUUUGGCGACAAACGGACACGUCAUAAUUUUGCAUUCUUUCCUUGCAAAAUCUCAGUCACCUGGGCUGUGUUCCACCUUGCUGGUAGUCGCGCUCUGCAACAAGAGUACGGAGGUAUUUCAGUCAAGGUAAGCGGUCAAACUCAUAAGGAAUAAGUCAAAAUUCUUUAAGGUCACGCUUUGUUGAAUCGCAGCAAAAAAUGUUUCACGCAUCAGGUGCUAAAUCUUUCAUUUCUUGCAGUGCAAACUCCCGGCGACGAUAGGCAACCUUUA